rnacentral:rRNA from 1 species
UACGUAGGGUGCUAGCGUUGUUCGGAAUCAUUGGGCGUAAAGCGCGCGCAGGCGGUGCGGUAAGUCCGUCGUGAAAUCUCCCGGCUCAACUGGGAGGGUGCGGUGGAGACUGCCGGACUGGAGGCACUCAGAGGCCGGUGGAAUUCCCGGUGUAGUGGUGAAAUGCGUAGAGAUCGGGAGGAACACCAGUGGCGAAGGCGGCCGGCUGGGGGUGACCUGACGCUGAGGCGCGAAAGCGUGGGGAGCGAACCGG